rnacentral:rRNA from 1 species
GUUUGAUCCUGGCUCAGGAUGAACGCUAGCGGCAGGCUUAACACAUGCAAGUCGAGGGGCAGCGGGAUGUAGCAAUACAUUGCCGGCGACCGGCGCACGGGUGCGUAACGCGUAUGCAACCUACCUAUAACAGGGGGAUAAUCCGGGGAAACCUGGUCUAAUACCCCAUAGCAUUAAGAUAUCGCAUGGUAUUUUAAUUAAAGUUUCGAUGGUUAUAGAUGGGCAUGCGUGACAUUAGCUAGUUGGUAAGGUAACGGCUUACCAAGGCGACGAUGUCUAGGGGAACUGAGAGGUUGAUCCCCCANACUGGUACUGAGACACGGACCAGACUCCUACGGGAGCAGCAGUGAGGAAUAUUGGCAAUGGGCGAAGCCUGAACCAGCCAUGCCGCGUGAAGGAAGACUGUCUUAUGGAUUGUAAACUUCUUUAUACGGGANCAAUAAGUGUUAUGCGUAACACGAUGAGAGUACCGUAUGAAUAAGCAUCGGCUAACUCCGUGCCAGCAGCCGCGGUAAUACGGAGGAUGCAAGCGUUAUCCGGAUUCAUGGGUUUAAAGGGUGCGUAGGCGGACUGGAAAGUCAGUGGUGAAAUGUCUGGGCUCAACCGAGACACUGCCAUUGAUACUAUCAGACUAGAGUACAAACGGAGUGGGCGGAAUAUGUCAUGUAGCGGUGAAAUGCAUAGAUAUGACAUAGAACACCGAUCGCGAAGGCAGCUCACUAGGAUGUUACUGACGCUGAUGCACGAAAGCGUGGGGAUCAAACAGGAUUAGAUACCCUGGUAGUCCACGCUGUAAACGAUGAUAACUCGUUGUCGGCGAUACACAGUCGGUGACUAAGCGAAAGCGAUAAGUUAUCCACCUGGGGAGUACGAUCGCAAGGUUGAAACUCAAAGGAAU